rnacentral:rRNA from 1 species
UACGUAGGGUGCAAGCGUUAAUCGGAAUUACUGGGCGUACAGCGUGCGCAGGCGGUUUUGUAAGUCUGUCGUGAAAUCCCCCGGGCUCAACCUGGGAAUUGCGAUGGAGACUGCAAGGCUAGAAUCUGGCAGAGGGGGGGUAGAAUUCCACGUGUAGCAGUGAAAUGCGUAGAGAUGUGGAGGAACACCGAUGGCGAAGGCAGCCCCCCUGGGUCAAGAUUGACGCUCAUGC